GUGCUCACUUAGGCAGCACAUAUACUAAAAUUGGAACGAUACAGAGAAGAUUAGCAUGGGCCCUGCACAAGGAUGACACACAAAUUCGUGAAGCGUUCCAUAUUUUU
rnacentral:snRNA from 1 species